GGGCCGUUAGCUCAGUUGGUAGAGCAGUUGACUCUUAAUCAAUAGGUCCAAGGUUCGAAUCCUUGACGGCUCA
rnacentral:tRNA from 1 species